CUUUGUUCUGCGUUGUGAUUUUUCCAAGACUUUGGAGGCAAAAACAACGUAUUCAGACGUUUCAUACGUGUUUUUGCUUCGUAUGCAUCAUUUGAGGCCGAUGCGAUGGAGAACGAGUGAGAUAUUCCGUUUGUGAAGACAAUGACGCGCCACGCAGUAGGUUUGGCCGUUAGCUGUUGGGGAGAAUUUGAGUUAUGCCCAUAGUAACGGCACGUUGUCUGUUGCUAUGGCUAUGUACCCGUAUGUUUGCUCUCCAGACGACGAUGCGAUGCACCAGAAAGCAGAUCUUCUCGAUGAUGAAGACAGCGGCGACUCAAUUAGUGUAGCGUAGACAGGAAGUUGAUAUGAACGUAUCAAAACAAUCAUCAAUAGCUACGAGACUUGUAUCAUUCGAAAGCGCAAUUAACAGGCUUUUCAACUGUGUAUGUAUUAUAAUUUUUGCAUGUAUAAUGUGGCUACACUUGCGAAUAAUACAGGUAAUCAACUGUAGUUACGUGCGCGCUAGGUAAUUAGUUUUAUUAGUAAAUUCUUGUA